AUAGAAAAGGAUGGUGGUUUUAGAGAUGCCUACAUAACCAUCCAGUAGCGUCCUCUUUCUAUGUUUGAGGAUGGCUUACAAAACUUUUUGCAGCUAUUGCAGGUCUUCAAGGGCAAAGUAGAGGAGCAAUGUUCAAAAAUUGAAGAUCUGAGGAACAACAUGUUUCAAGUUUCUGCUAGGCAAACAUACAUGAAAGGAAUUGUUAGCCAGUCUUCAGAUAAUCAGUACUAGGAUAUAUGGAACCGUCAGAAAUUGAGUCCAGAAUUCGAAGUGAAGAGACAAAAUAUUCUCAGAGCUAACCAGGAUUUGACAAAUCAGCUGGUUGAGCUGGAGAGGCACUUCAAUAAUCUGGAGAUGAACAGAUCCGGUGAAACAGGAAGAGUGGCUUCUAAUCGAGGAGUUGUUUAUUCUA